GGGCGAGUGGCGAAGAGGCAACGCUGCGGUCUGCAAAACCGCCAUUCACCGGUUCGAAUCCGGUCUCGCCCU
rnacentral:tRNA from 1 species